UUCUCCCUGUUUGCUAUCUCGGAGCAUGUGGUGUUCAGGGAUUUUGUUUGCUUCUUAUGCACCCUGGGUUUGGCCGCAAAAUCUUUCCCUGAAAAGAGGACCCAAAGGAAAAUGGAAAGGAGCCAAGAGGCACAGAGAAAUCGAACAAGACACAUGUGGAGAUGGGGAGGAGACCACCAGAUAAGUCCUGGGGAAAGGCCACUGAUGGAUUAGUGCCCUGUGGAUAUUGACGAGUUCAGAGGUGUUUCAGCAUUCUUGACUGCCGGUGUGCACUCUGGUCUUUGGAUCCGCCUUGGAUCCCAUUGUAACAUCUCACUGGUUAACUCAUUGAUGAGUUAAAUAAAACCCUUGACACGUAUUCAUUUUA